CGCGCUCGGCCCGCGGUAAACAAGCACUGCGCAGGCGCCGUGAGCCAAGGGCACAUGGAACACCUGCACACAUACUGGAUUUUUGCCCCGAGACGUCCAAAAGGAAGCAGGCUGUGAGCUGAGGGAAGACAGACGACAGAUAUGAAUGUGUUCCGAAGGUUUCUUGGUGGCUUAUGGCAUCCUCCAAAGUCCUGUCCGAGAGCUGUUCCUGACCAGGAAGACCCACGGAGACUGUCUCUGAAAUCAAGUCCCGAUGAAGAA
rnacentral:lncRNA from 1 species